UACGUAGGGUGCAAGCGUUAAUCGGAAUUACUGGGCGUAAAGCGUGCGCAGGCGGUUUGGUAAGACAGAUGUGAAAUCCCUGGGCUCAACCUAGGAAUUGCAUUUGUGACUGCCCGGCUAGAGUGUGUCAGAGGGGGGUAGAAUUCCACGUGUAGCAGUGAAAUGCGUAGAGAUGUGGAGGAAUACCGAUGGCGAAGGCAGCCCCCUGGGAUAACACUGACGCUCAUGCACGAAAGCGUGGGGAGCAAACAGG
rnacentral:rRNA from 1 species